AGUGAACGCUGGCGGUAGGCCUAACACAUGCAAGUCGAACGGCAGCACAGUAAGAGCUUGCUCUUACGGGUGGCGAGUGGCGGACGGGUGAGGUAUACAUCGGAAUCUACUUUUUCGUGGGGGAUAACGUAGGGAAACUUACGCUAAUACCGCAUACGACCUACGGGUGAAAGCAGGGGAUCUUCGGACCUUGCGCGAUUGAAUGAGCCGAUGUCGGAUUAGCUAGUUGGCGGGGUAAAGGCCCACCAAGGCGACGAUCCGUAGCUGGUCUGAGAGGAUGAUCAGCCACACUGGGACUGGGACACGGUCCAGACUCCUACGGGAGGCAGCAGUGGGGAAUAUUGGACCAUGGGCGCAAGUCUGAUCCAGACACACCGGGUGGGUGAAGAAGGCCUUCGGGUUGUAAAGCCCUUUUGUGGGGAAAGAAAAGCAGCAGGUUAAUACCCCGCUGUUCUGACGGUACCCAAAGAAUAAGCACCGGCUAACUUCGUG
rnacentral:rRNA from 1 species